rnacentral:misc_RNA from 1 species
GAUGAAGAACGUAGCGAAAUGCGAUACGUAGUGUGAAUUGCAGAAUUCAGUGAAUCAUCGAAUCUUUGAACGCACAUUGCGCCCUUUGGUAUUCCUUAGGGCAUGCCUGUUCGAGCGUCAUUUAAACCUUCAAGCUAAGCUUGGUGUUGGGUGACUGUCCGCUUCACGGCGGACUCGCCUCAAAAUUAUUGGCGGCCGGUACAUUGGCUUCGAGCGCAGCAGAAACGCGAACUCNNGCCCGUCGUAUUGGCUCCCAGAAGCUAUCUUCACAAUUUUGACCUCGGAUCAGGUAGGGAUACCCGCUGAACUUAAGCAUAUCAAUAAGCGGAGGA